rnacentral:rRNA from 1 species
CCUACGGGAGGCUGCAGUGGGGAAUAUUGGACAAUGGGGGGAACCCUGAUCCAGCCAUGCAGCGUGUGUGAAGAAGGCCCUCGGGUUGUAAAGCACUUUCAGUGAGGAAGAACGCCUGGUGGUUAAUACCCAUCAGGAAAGACAUCACUCACAGAAGAAGCACCGGCUAACUCCGUGCCAGCAGCCGCGGUAAUACGGAGGGUGCGAGCGUUAAUCGGAAUUACUGGGCGUAAAGCGCGCGUAGGUGGCUUGAUAAGCCGGUUGUGAAAGCCCCGGGCUCAACCUGGGAACGGCAUCCGGAACUGUCAAGCUAGAGUGCAGGAGAGGAAGGUAGAAUUCCCGGUGUAGCGGUGAAAUGCGUAGAGAUCGGGAGGAAUACCAGUGGCGAAGGCGGCCUUCUGGACUGACACUGACACUGAGGUGCGAAAGCGUGGGUAGCAAACAGGAUUAGAUACCCCAGUAGUC